AGAUUGAACGCUGGCGGCAUGCCUUACACAUGCAAGUCGAACGGUAGAGUAGCAAUACUCGAGAGUGGCGAACGGGUGAGUAAUAUAUCGGAACGUGCCCAGUCGUGGGGGAUAACGUAGAGAAAUUUACGCUAAUACCGCAUACGAUCUAAGGAUGAAAGCGGGGGAUUCGCAAGAACCUCGCGCGAUUGGAGCGGCUGAUAUCAGAUUAGGUUGUUGGUGAGGUAAAAGCUCACCAAGCCGACGAUCUGUAGCUGGUUUGAGAGAACGACCAGCCACACUGGGACUGAGACACCGG
rnacentral:rRNA from 1 species